rnacentral:rRNA from 1 species
CGAACGGGUGAGUAACACGUGGGUGAUCUGCCCUGCACUCUGGGAUAAGCCUGGGAAACUGGGUCUAAUACCGGAUAGGACCAUGCUUUAGUGUGUGUGGUGGAAAGUUUUUUCGGUGUAGGAUGAGCCCGCGGCCUAUCAGCUUGUUGGUGGGGUAAUGGCCUACCAAGGCGGCGACGGGUAGCCGGCUGAGAGGUUGGUCGGCCACAUUGGGACUGAGAUACGGCCCAG